GUUAUGGGGCUAGGGUAAGGUUUAAGGUUUUUGGCGUUAGGGUUAAAAUCACUGUCCAAAACCUUUUUAGGAACAUGUUUCAGACCUUUGGGAGUUAGUUAGACAAAAAAAAAAGAAAAAGAAAAAAAAAUAUUUGGGGUGUUCGGGCUUCCUGAAGGUAAUACCCGGGUAUUAGGUUAUGGGGCUAGGGUAAGGUUUAAGGUUUUUGGCGUUAGAGGGUUAAAAUCACUGUCCAAAACCUUUUUAGGAACAUGUUUAAGACCUUUUGGAGUUGGUUACACCAAAAAAAAUGUAAAAUGAAAAAAAAAUAUUUGGGGUGUUCGGGCUUCCUGAAGGUAAUACCCGGGUAUUAGGUUAUGGGGCUAGGGUAAGGUUUAAGGUUUUUGGCGUUAGGGUUAAAAUCACUGUCCAAAACCUUUGUAGGACCUCUUUUCCAACCUUUUGGUGUUAGUUAGACCAAAAAAAAAGAAAAAUGAAAAAAAAAUAUUUGGGGUGUUCGGGCUUCCUGAAGGUAAUACCCGGGUAUUAGGUUAUGGGGCUUUGGAAAGGUUUAAGGUUUUUGGCGUUAGGGUUAAAAUCACUGUCCAAAACCUUUGUAGGAACUCUUUUCCAACCUUUUGGAGUUAAUUAGACCAAAAAAAAAAUGAAAAAUGAAAAAAAAAAAUUUGGGGUGUUUGGGCUUCCUGAAGGUAUUAUGUUUUGGGGCUAGGGUAAGGUUUAAGGUUUUUGGCGUUAGGGUUAAAAUCAGUGUCCAAAACGUUUUAAGGAACAAGAUUCAGACCUUUUGGAGUUGGUUACACCAAAAAAAUGUAAAAUGAAAAAAAAAUAUAUUUGGGGUGUUCGGGCUUCCUGAAGGUAAUACCCGGGUAAGGUUUAAGGUUUUUGGCGUAAGGGUUAAAAUCACUGUCCAAAACCUUUUUAGGACCAUGUUUCAGACCUUUUGGAGUUGGUUACACCAAAAAAAAAAAGAAAAAGAAAAAAAAAAUAUUUGGGGUGUUCGGGCUUCCUGAAGGUAAUACCCGGGUAUUAGGUUAUGGGGCUAGGGUAAGGUUUAAGGUUUUUGGCGUUAGGGUUAAAAUCACUGUCCAAAACCUUUUUAGGAACAUGUUUAAGACCUUUUGGAGUUGGUUACACCAAAAAAAAAAUGUAAAAUGAAAAAAAAAUAUUUGGGGUGUUCGGGCUUCCUGAAGGUAAUACCCGGGUAUUAGGUUAUGGGGCUAGGGUAAGGUUUAAGGUUUUUGGCGUGAGGGUUAAAAUCACUGUCCAAAACCUUUGUAGGACCUCUUUUCCAACCUUUUGGAGUUAGUUAGACCAAAAAAAAAGAAAAAUGAAAAAAAAAUAUUUGGGGUGUUCGGGCUUCCUGAAGGUAAUAGGUUUUGGGGCUAGGGUAAGGUUUAAGGUUUUUGGCGUUAGGGUUAAAAUCACUGUCCAAAACCUUUUAAGGAACAUGUUUCAGACCUUUUGGAGUUGGUUACACCAAAAAAAAUGUAAAAUGAAAAAAAAUAUAUUUGGGGUGUUCGGGCUUCCUGAAGGUAAUACCCGGGUAUUAGGUUAUGGGGCUUUGGAAAGGUUUAAGGUUUUUGGCGUGAGGGUUAAAAUCACUGUCCAAAACCUUUGUAGGAAGUCUUUUCCAACCUUUUGGAGUUAGUUAGACAAUAAAAAAAUGAAAAAUGAAAAAAAAAAUUUGGGGUGUUUGGGCUUCCUGAAGGUAUUAGGUUUUGGGGCUAGGGUAAGGUUUAAGGUUUUUGGCGUUAGGGUUAAAAUCACUGUCCAAAACCUUUUAAGGAACAAGAUUCAGACCUUUUGGAGUUGGUUACACCAAAAAAAAUGUAAAAUGAAAAAAAAAAUAUUUGGGGUGUUCGGGCUUCCUGAAGGUAAUACCCUUCAGGUUUAAGUAUUAGGUUAUGGGGCUAGGGUAAGGUUUAAGGUUUUUGGCGUUAGGGUUAAAAUCACUGUCCAAAACCUUUUUAGGAACAUGUUUCAGACCUUUUGGAGCUAGUUUGACCAAAAAAAAAAAAGAAAAAGAAAAAAUAUAUAUUUGGGGUGUUCGGGCUUCCUGAAGGUAAUACCCGGGUAUUAGGUUAUGGGGCUAGGGUAAGGUUUAAGGUUUUUGGCGUGAGGGUUAAAAUCACUGUCCAAAACCUUUGUAGGAAGUCUUUUCCAACCUUUUGGAGUUAGUUAGACAAAAAAAAAAAGAUAAAUGAAAAAAAAAUAUUUGGGGUGUUCGGGCUUCCUGAAGGUAAUACCCGGGUAUUAGGUUAUGGGGCUAGGGUAAGGUUUAAGGUUUUUGGCGUAAGGGUUAAAAUCACUGUCCAAAACCUUUUUAGGAACAUGUUUAAGACCUUUUGGAGUUGGUUACACCAAAAAAAAUGUAAAAUGAAAAAAAAAUAUUUGGGGUGUUCGGGCUUCCUGAAGGUAAUACCCGGGUAUUAGGUUAUGGGGCUAGGGUAAGGUUUAAGGUUUUUGGCGUUAGGGUUAAAAUCACUGUCCAAAACCUUUUUAGGAACAUGUUUCAGACCUUUUGGAGUUGGUUACACCAAAAAAAAUUUAAAAUGAAAAAAAAAUAUUUGGGGUGUUCGGGCUUCCUGAAGGUAAUACCCGGGUAUUAGGUAAUGGGGCUAGGGUAAGGUUUAAGGUUUUUGGCGUGAGGGUUAAAAUCACUGUCCAAAACCUUUGUAGGACCUCUUUUCCAACCUUUUGGUGUUAGUUAGACCAAAAAAAAACGAAAAAUGAAAAAAAAAUAUUUGGGGUGUUCGGGCUUCCUGAAGGUAAUAGGUUUUGGGGCUAGGGUAAGGUUUAAGGUUUUUGGCGUUAGGGUUAAAAUCACUGUCCAAAACCUUUUAAGGAACAAGAUUCAGACCUUUUGGAGUUGGUUACACCAAAAAAAAUGUAAAAUGAAAAAAAAAAAUAUUUGGGGUGUUCGGGCUUCCUGAAGGUAAUACCCGGGUAUUAGGGUUAUGGGGCUAGGUAAGGUUUAAGGUUUUUGGCGUUAGGGUUAAAAUCACUGUCCAAAACCUUUGUAGGAAGUCUUUUCCAACCUUUUGGAGUUGGUUACACCAAAAAAAAAAUGUAAAAUGAAAAAAAAAAUUUGGGGUGUUCGGGCUUCCUGAAGGUAAUACCCGGGUAUUAGGUUUUGGGGCUAGGGUAAGGUUUAAGGUUUUUGGCGUUAGGGUUAAAAUCACUGUCCAAAACCUUUUAAGGAACAAGAUUCAGACCUUUUGGAGUUGGUUACACCAAAAAAAAUGUAAAAUGAAAAAAAAAAUAUUUGGGGUGUUCGGGCUUCCUGAAGGUAAUACCCUUCAGGGUAAGUAUUAGGUUAUGGGGCUAGGAUAAGGUUUAAGGUUUUUGGCAUAAGGGUUAAAAUCACUGUCCAAUAUUUUUUAAGGAACAUGUUUCAGACCUUUUGGAGCUAGUUUGACCAAAAAAAAAAAAGAAAAAGAAAAAAUAUAUAUUUGGGGUGUUCGGGCUUCCUGAAGGUAAUACCUGGGUAUUAGGUUAUGGGGCUAGGUUAAGGUUUAAGGUUUUUGGCGUGAGGGUUAAAAUCACUGUCCAAAACCUUUGUAGGAAGAUGUUUCAGACCUUUUGGAGUUAGUUAGACAAAAAAAAAAAGAUAAAUGAAAAAAAAAUAUUUGGGGUGUUCGGGCUUCCUGAAGGUAAUACCCGGGUAUUAGGUUAUGGGGCUAGGGUAAGGUUUAAGGUUUUUGGCGUAAGGGUUAAAAUCACUGUCCAAAACCGUUUUAGGAACAUGUUUCAGACCUUUUGGAGUUGGUUACACCAAAAAAAAAAGUAAAAUGAAAAAAAAAAUAUUUGGGGUGUUCAAGCUUCCUGAAGGUAAUACCCGGGUAUUAGGUUAUGGGGCUAGGGUAAGGUUUAAGGUUUUUGGCGUUAGGGUUAAAAUCACUGUCCAAAACCUUUGUAGGAACUCUUUUCCAACCUUUUGGUGUUAGUUAGACCAAAAAAAAACGAAAAAUGAAAAAAAAAUAUUUGGGGUGUUCGGGCUUCCUGAAGGUAAUAGGUUUCUGGGCUAGGGUAAUGUUUAACGUUUUUGGCGUUAGGGUUCAAAUCAAUGUCCAAAACCUUUGUAGGAACUCUUUUCCAACCUUUGAGAGCAAGUUAGACCAAAACAAAAAGAAAAAUAAAAAAUAUAUAUUUGGGGUGUUCGGGCUUCCUGAAGGUAAUACCUGGGUAUUAGGUUUUGGGGCUAGGGUUAGGUUUAAGGUUUUUGGCGUUAGGGUUAAAAUAACUGUCCAAUAUUUUUUAAGGAACAUGUUUCAGACCUUUGGGAGUUAGUUAGACAAAAAAAAGAAAAGAAAAGAAAAAAAAUUAUUUGGGGUGUUCGGGUUCCUGAAGGUAAUACCCGGGUAUUAGGUUAUGGGGCUAGGGUAAGGUUUAAGGUUUUUGGCGUUAGAGUUAAAAUCACUGUCCAAAACCUUUUUAGGAACAUGUUUAAGACCUUUUGGAGUUAGUUAGACAAAAAAAAAAAAAGAAAAUGAAAAAAAAAUAUUUGGGGUGUUCGGUCUUCCUGAAGGUAAUACCCGGGUAUUAGGUUAUGGGGCUAGGGUAAGGUUUAAGGUUUUUGGCGUUAGGGUUAAAAUCACUGUCCAAAACCUUUGUAGGACCUCUUUUCCAACCUUUUGGAGUUAGUUAGACCAAAAAAAAACGAAAAAUGAAAAAAAAAUAUUUGGGGUUUUUGGGCUUCCUGAAGGUAAUACCCGGGUAUUAGGUUAUGGGGCUAGGGUAAGGUUUAAGGUUUUUGGCGUGAGGGUUAAAAUCACUGUCCAAAACCUUUGUAGGAAGUCUUUUCCAACCUUUUGGAGUUAGUUAGACCAAUAAAAAAAUGUAAAAUGAAAAAAAAAAAAUUGGGGUGUUGGGCUUCCUGAAGGUAUUAUGUUUUGGGGCUAGGGUAAGGUUUAAGGUUUUUGGCGUUAGGGUUAAAAUCACUGUCCAAAACCUUUUAAGGAACAAGAUUCAGACCUUUUGGAGUUGGUUACACCAAAAAAAUGUAAAAUGAAAAAAAAUAUAUUUGGGUGUUC